AAAUUGAAGAGUUUGAUCAUGGCUCAGAUUGAACGCUGGCGGCAGGCCUAACACAUGCAAGUCGAACGGUAACAGGAAGCAGCUUGCUGCUUCGCUGACGAGUGGCGGACGGGUGAGUAAUGUCUGGGAAACUGCCUGAUGGAGGGGGAUAACUACUGGAAACGGUGGCUAAUACCGCAUAACGUCGCAAGACCAAAGAGGGGGACCUUCGGGCCUCUUGCCAUCAGAUGUGCCCAGAUGGGAUUAGCUGGUUGGUGAGGUAACGGCUCACCAAGGCGACGAUCCCUAGCUGGUCUGAGAGGAUGACCAGCCACACUGGAACUGAGACACGGUCCAGACUCCUACGGGAGGCAGCAGUGGGGAAUAUUGCACAAUGGGCGCAAGCCUGAUGCAGCCAUGCCGCGUGUAUGAAGAAGGCCUUCGGGUUGUAAAGUACUUUCAGCGGGGAGGAAGGUGUUGUGGUUAAUAACUGCAGCAAUUGACGUUACCCGCAGAAGAAGCACC
rnacentral:rRNA from 1 species